CCCUGGUUAUCCUGGAACUCACUCUGUAGAUUAGGCUGGUUUGAACUCAGAGACCCACCUACCUCUGCUUCGAAUGCUGGGAUUAAAGGCGUGCGCUGCCACCACGUGGCUCAUCUUUUUGAAGGACGACCCAUUUUCACACUCACAUCUUGUGUUUUGUUGUGUGACCCUCUGAGUCUAACCAAGGCCAUCUGUGUGACCAUGGGGUUGGAACUAUCCAUUGGAGACUGACCAGCUUCUCGGGAUCACAAACUCUAUAACAUUUGGAGGCCCCAGCAAGAUCUCUGGGAGACCGAAGACUGGGGACCAGAAUAGGCCCCAGAGGGAGCAAGUCUAAAGUGGACUUCAUAGGCCCCGGGGAGCCCAGACUACAAGCCACCCCAAACAUGCAAACUGAAAGUAAGAACUGGCAGCCAAUAUGCUUCUGAGGCUGAGACUGAUUGCUGAGAUGCUCUGUUCUGUUUGGAGUCUGGGCAUUUGAAGAGGCAAAAGGCAGGCCAGUCUCCCAAGGUCCUCAUCCACAAAACCUCAGAUCUUCUGGGCCUGGCAGCUGAAGGAGCUACCCAGUGUGGAAAUGAAACACUGACUGCUGUCCUCUGUGACUGCCGAAGACUGAUGCCCUCUGCCCCCAAAGACACCGUGAAGGAGCCGAGGGCAGCCUUCUAGGCUAUAUUUAUCCCAACAGAUUUCCAAUCAAGUAAGGACCACAAACUGCUCCAAAGACAGUAGCCUCAGGUGGCUCUUUGAAACUAGCAAGCCCUGGACUUGCUGAAAGCAAGUAAUGAGAACCAGAUGCUUCUGACAAAAUUGCCUACCAACGAAUUGCCUACCAACGGGAGCCCCAGCUUCAGACCAGCAUUCCAGACUUCCCCUCGCUAGCCCCAGGUGGUCCACAGAACCUGCACAGCAAAACAGAUGUACCUGGUGCCUUCCUGGUCGUUGACUGGCAUUCCAGCCUUCCUGAGUCCUGACAACAAUGCCCGAUUUCAGCUGAGAGGGAGUUACAGAGGAGACGAUGUUGCCUCUUAUCCUUAACCAAAGGCUGGGAUGUUAGAUCUACAGGAAACAUGUUCCCCUCUGCCAAAGGGGUCAUUUUCCCAGCACUGCCAAAAAUGACAAACAGCCAUCUCUGGUGCCUAUUAGACCAAAGUGCAUGCUGUCCUCCAGGCUUCUUCAGUACUACAGACCCUGAGAGUUACAUAAAGGAACACCCAAGAUGGGGGCUAUCCAUCUUGGAACUCAGCAACCAUCUGUCUGAGUCCAGCCCCUGGAAGACAAGUUCCCAGUAACCUUGACUCAGUGAUCCCCAUCCAAAACUGUACAGCCCUGACUCUCGACUUGUUAAGCUAUGACUAAAUGCCUUUUUGGCUUCUGUAACUUGCUUAGGUAGAUACCCAAAGAUUGUCUGGGGUCACUUAACUUGGCAGAAUAGACCAGUUUUUGCUUGCCUGCAUAGAUGUUGAAGGUCUUCUUGUGGUUUGCCCCUUUAAAAAUCCUUCCCUUGCCUCCCUUCUCAUGGCAAUCUCAAAUUCAGCUCAGAGGUUGUUCGUCCUCCUAGUAGCUAAUAAAUAAAUCUU